CCUAUUAUUUUUCCCUCUCUUUUGGUCUCUGUUCUGGCACUCCAUGCUCUUAAUCUCCUCAACGAUCUUUGCCUUAUCCACAAGAACUGAAACUCUCGCUCCCUCUGCGAAGCAAUCAAUACACUCAGUGUAACACCCCUUUACUCGAGACCGUCACUGGAUUCGAGCACGAGGCGUUAACAGACUUAAUUUAUCACUUAAAAAAUUUCAAACAAUUUAUUUCACAUUUCG
rnacentral:lncRNA from 1 species